rnacentral:rRNA from 1 species
GCCACGGUCCUUAGAAGGUGCCAGGCCUGUGGGAUGGUUGCGGUGUCCGGGACGACCUCUCCUUGGAGUCGGGUUGCUUGAGAGUGCAGCCCUAAGCAGGUGGUAAACUCCAUCUAAGGCUAAAUACAACCACGAGACCGAUAGCAAACAAGUACCGUGAGGGAAAGUUGAAAAGAACUUUGAAGAGAGAGUUCAAGAGUACGUGAAACCGUUCAGGGGUAAACGGGUGGAGCCCUAAAGGUCGAACGGGGAGAUUCAGUGUUCCGUCCGCCGGCCGCCCGCCGCCGUUGGGUAAACCUCCGCUCCCGGCUCGUCCGGUUCUCGCGGGGGGCCCUCGGCGGGGGCUUGCGCGCCGGUGGGGUUGCGCACUUCUCCUCUAGUAGCACGCCGCGACCCGUUGGGUGUCCGCCGAAAGCCCGGGGGCGAGCCCGUGUACCCUCUUCGGAGGGUCGCGGAGUCCCGGUGUCUAGGUCGGACUGCCCGACGGUCUUGAAAGCGGAAAAGGCCCGCGCUCUCGACUUCGGUCGAACGCGCGCUCGUGCCCCGCGCGAGCGUCCUGUCGCGUGCCGUUGUGCGGACUCGUUCCGCCGCGGCCCGACAGGCGUUGUCGGCGCGGGGAUUUCUCGAGCGGUGGCCUGCUCCCGUCCGCGGCGGUAACACAGGGCGGCCCACCCGGCCCGUCUUGAAACACGGACCAAGGAGUCUAACAUGUGCGCGAGUCAUUGGGUCCCACUACACCCAAAGGCGUAUUGAACGAAAAGGCCGUCCUCCGCGUCGGCUUAGGGAGGAUGGGCGUCCGCUCGCGGGCGCCCCGCACUCCCGGGGCGUCUCGUCCUACCACCGCUCGUCGGCGGAAGGUGAGGCGCACCAUGAGCGCACACGUUGGUACCCGAAAGAUGGUGAACUAUGCCUGGCCAGGACGAAGCCAGGGGAAACCCUGGUGGAGGUCCGUAGCGAUUCUGACGUGCAAAUCGAUCGUCAGAGCUGGGUAUAGGGGCGAAAGACUAAUCGAACCAUCUAGUAGCUGGUUCCCUCCGAAGUUUCCCUCAGGAUAGCUGGCGUUCGGAGAUUCGAGUCCCAUGCGGUAAAGCGAAUGAUUGGAGGCCAUGGGGUCGAAACGACCUCAACCUACUCUCAAACUCUAAAUGUGUGGGAUCCGCGGCAUGUUUGAACGUGAUGCCGCGGCUUGUCGGAUCGGAGUGCCCAGUGGGCCACUUUUGGUAAGCAGAACUGGCGCUGUGGGAUGAACCAAACGCCGGGUUAAGGCGCCCGAAUAGACGCUCAUGUGAAACCAUGAAAGGUGUUGGUUGCUUAAGACAGCAGGACGGUGGCCAUGGAAGUCGGAAUCCGCUAAGGAGUGUGUAACAACUCACCUGCCGAAGCAACUAGCCCUGAAAAUGGAUGGCGCUGAAGCGUCUUGCCUAUACCCGGCCGCCGGCGGCAGAAGGCGAGCGCCCUCGGGCGGUCGCUGCGAAGCCCCGGUGAGUAGGAGGGUCGCGACGGUGAGCGCAGAAGGGUCUGGGCGUGAGCCUGCCUGGAGCCGCCGUCGGUGCAGAUCUUGGUGGUAGUAGCAAAUACUCCAGCGAGGCCCUGGAGGACCGAUGUGGAGAAGGGUUCCGUGUGAACAGCCGUUGCACACGGGUCAGUCGAUCCUAAGCCCUAGGAGAAAUCCGAUGUUGAUGGUCGCGGGAUGUACCUAAGCUCCGGUACGUGGCACCCGAAAGGAAGUGAAUCUUUGCCUGGCGGACACUUUAAGAAACCCCUCUUGUGUGUGUUGUACGCGGUGAGAGGUGGAGAUCCCAACGAACGAGACGCGAGAGUUACGACACGAAGAGAAUCUAAGCACGUCGUGGUAGGUGGUGGAACACCCGCCUUCGCGACGCCACUGCUCCUUCUCUUCUAACGUCGUUUUAAGCUCCUCGCUAAUCUCUAGGUCGAUCUCCCCGCCGCCGAAGCGCGUUCAAUGGGUUUCGUCUGUCAUCUAGCAAACUCUUCUGGAGUAGGGAGCCGUUGAAAGCUACCGGCUGGCACUAUCAAACCCCGUCCGUCGGGCGAAAGGGAAUCCGGUUCCUAUUCCGGAACCCGGUUGCGGAACCGCACUCACGAUCCUCGUAUUGACACGGUAACGUGAAUGAGCCCAGAGAUGCCGCCUGGAGCCCCGGGAAGAGUUUUCUUUUCUGCCUGAGCGUUCGGGUUCCAUGGAAUCCUCUCGUAGGGAGAUAUGGAAUGGAACGCGAAGAGCACCGCAGUUGCUGCGGUGUCCGGGGAGUCCCGCCGGCCCUUGA